rnacentral:rRNA from 1 species
ACGAACGCUGGCGGCAUGCCUAACACAUGCAAGUCGAACGAGACCUUCGGGUCUAGUGGCGCACGGGUGCGUAACGCGUGGGAACCUGCCCUUAGGUACGGAAUAACUCCCCGAAAGGGGUGCUAAUACCGGAUAAUGUCUUCGGACCAAAGAUUUAUCGCCUUUGGAUGGGCCCGCGUUGGAUUAGCUAGUUGGUAGGGUAAAAGCCUACCAAGGCGACGAUCCAUAGCUGGUCUGAGAGGAUGAUCAGCCACACUGGGACUGAGACACGGCCCAGACUCCUACGGGAGGCAGCAGUGGGGAAUAUUGGACAAUGGGCGAAAGCCUGAUCCAGCAAUGCCGCGUGAGUGAUGAAGGCCUUAGGGUUGUAAAGCUCUUUUACCCGGGAUGAUAAUGACAGUACCGGGAGAAUAAGCUCCGGCUAACUCCGUG